rnacentral:rRNA from 1 species
AUUGAACGCUGGCGGCAUGCCUUACACAUGCAAGUCGAACGGUAACGGGCCUUCGGGUGCCGACGAGUGGCGAACGGGUGAGUAAUGUAUCGGAACGUACCUUUCAGUGGGGGAUAACGUAGCGAAAGUUACGCUAAUACCGCAUAUUCUGUGCGCAGGAAAGCAGGGGAUCGCAAGACCUUGCGCUGAUUGAGCGGCCGAUAUCAGAUUAGCUAGUUGGCGAGGUAAAGGCUCACCAAGGCGACGAUCUGUAGCGGGUCUGAGAGGAUGAUCCGCCACACUGGAACUGAGACACGGUCCAGACUCCUACGGGAGGCAGCAGUGGGGAAUUUUGGACAAUGGGGGCAACCCUGAUCCAGCCAUGCCGCGUGAGUGAAGAAGGCCUUCGGGUUGUAAAGCUCUUUCGGCCGGGAAGAAAUCACAUCAGCUAAUACCUGGUGCGGAUGACGGUACCGGCAUAAGAAGCACCGGCUAACUACGUGCCAGCAGCCGCGGUAACAC